rnacentral:ribozyme from 1 species
AUGUACAAAAUGGAAGGUACAAAUUUACAAUCAAAGAUGUUGGGGGAGAUAAACAAGAGAGGAGAAGCAGGUCUUUUUUUCAGAGCUGCUACCCAAAAUUCCCUUGUCCUUCUCCAGUUUGUAUUCUUUCUUUUUAGGUCUCCUUUUCCUUUUCUUUCUCUUU